rnacentral:lncRNA from 1 species
AGGGCAAUCUGGGAAAGUGGCCAAGCACGGUAUUAGGGAGCGAUGCACCCAGCCACAGCCUGCUGGAGGCAGCAGACCUCACCUUCCCCGGGCACUGGAUCAGGCUGUGCUGCUAUUCAAAAUGCUGCUGAGGAGCCAUGUAUUUAUUCCCAAGAUUAUGGAAUCAAGUGAAGAUAGGAGACUUUUGACUUCCACUUCAAAGAAAUUCUACAGGCUGGAUGGAGAAGAAAUAUGUCCGGAUCACUGUGGCACAGGACCCAAACUGGAAGGAGCAGGAUCCCAGCCUUACUCUGCCAUGGCUACAGGGCUUUCAGACCCACACUUCCUAGCCAGCUGUCUUUGCUGCCUGCUGUGGGCACACAUUGCUGGGGAAUGUAGAUAACUAGCUGUGAAAGUGUCCUUCAUGGCAAAUGGUGAAAGCCUAAAGUCUUGAAUUCUAAACAAGACGAAAGGGAAGAAAUAAAUGUUUUGCUUUGAGGAAGUGGACUUGCA